GCUGUCGGCCAUAUUUCUUUGAAAGUACCAGAUCCCAUCCGAACUCUGAAGUUAACCAAAGAAAAGGUCAGUUAGUACUGGUAUCGGAGACGGACUGGAAAUACCUGACUGCUGACAGCU
rnacentral:rRNA from 1 species